rnacentral:rRNA from 1 species
CGCUGAACUUAAGCAUAUCACUAAGCGGAGGAAAAGAAACUAACCAGGAUCCC